rnacentral:rRNA from 1 species
UUAGCCAUGCUAGCCGCACGGGUCUAGACCCGUGGCGAAUAGCUCCGUAACACGUGGCCAAACUACCCUGUGGAGGGUGAUAACCUCGGGAAACUGAGGCUAAUCGCCCAUACGGCUCUCUCCCUGGAAUGGGUUGAGCUUGAAAUGCUCCGGCGCCACAGGAUGUGGCUGCGGUCGAUUAGGUAGACGGUGGGGUAACGGCCCACCGUGCCUAUAAUCGGUACGGGUUGUGAGAGCAAGAGCCCGGAGACGGAAUCUGAGACAAGAUUCCGGGCCCUACGGGGCGCAGCAGGCGCGAAACCUUUACACUGCACGACAGUGCGAUAAGGGGAUCCCAAGUGCGAGGGCAUACAGUCCUCGCUUUUGUACACCGUAAGGUGGUGCACGAAUAAGAGCUGGGCAAGACCGGUGCCAGCCGCCGCGGUAAUACCGGCAGCUCGAGUGAUGGCCGUUAUUAUUGGGCCUAAAGCGUCCGUAGCUGGCCGAACAAGUCCAUCGGGAAAUCCAUCCGCUCAACGGAUGGGCGUCCGGCGGAAACUGUUCGGCUUGGGACCGGAAGACCCGAGGGGUACGUCCGGGGUAGGAGUGAAAUCCUGUAAUCCUGGACGGACCGCCGGUGGCGAAAGCGCCUCGGGAGGACGGAUCCGACAGUGANGGACNAAAA